rnacentral:piRNA from 1 species
UUCAAGCAGAAAAAAAUAUCU